rnacentral:rRNA from 1 species
CCUACGGGGGGCAGCAGUGGGGAAUAUUGCACAAUGGGCGCAAGCCUGAUGCAGCCAUGCCGCGUGUGUGAAGAAGGCCUUCGGGUUGUAAAGCACUUUCAGCGGGGAGGAAGGCGGCGAGGUUAAUAACCUCAUCGACUGACGUUACCCGCAGAAGAAGCACCGGCUAACUCCGUGCCAGCAGCCGCGGUAAUACGGAGGGUGCAAGCGUUAAUCGGAAUUACUGGGCGUAAAGCGCACGCAGGCGGUCUGUCAAGUCGGAUGUGAAAUCCCCGGGCUCAACCUGGGAACUGCAUUCGAAACUGGCAGGCUAGAGUCUUGUAGAGGGGGGUAGAAUUCCAGGUGUAGCGGUGAAAUGCGUAGAGAUCUGGAGGAAUACCGGUGGCGAAGGCGGCCCCCUGGACAAAGACUGACGCUCAGGUGCGAAAGCGUGGGGAGCAAACAGGAUUAGAUACCCCGGUAGUC